CUCGGAAGAGGAAGAGAAAGGGAAGGGGGACGUGCACGUAGCUCAUUUCGCUCUCCGGACCGAAGGAGAUGGACACCUGAACGGGACAUAUGGGUGUAGAAACGGAGGGUUAGCCAGAGAUGCUGAAUGGAUGGGGCCGUUGCGACGUCACGCGGAGCCCCAGCCGCGCAGCGCACGAGCCAACACUAGACGACAUUGGAAAGCUCGAGGCGUUCUCGACCGCAGAGCUGUCCGUUUGACCGAGAAACCCAAUCUUCACGAUAUAGUCUGAAGGACAGGAGCCGAUGAUAUAGGUGUGAAUCCAAAUCUCUAAUUCCCCCCUAUGGCUGGAAGAGAUGGUUGGCCGAAGGGGUUGGCUGUUAUCUUUGGUUAUCUAGCUGUAUGAGUGAUGUACGUUCUUCAUAAAGCUAGAUAACCGAAAGUAACAAGAAUCCCAUUACACACCUAAAAGGCCACACCCAUCCAACACUCCACAUCCCACCCCUUGCUUUCUCUUCUCACAAGACCCAGGACAUGAAAAGGCAUCCAGAAAGAGCAGAAUCGACGUCCAGUCUCUGUGUCGAAAAGAUGCCAGCGAAAGGGAAGGAAAACAUGGAGGAUGUUAUGGAGGAGGGGAGGGUUGGUGUUGAGACUCUCUGUGCCCCACUAUGCAUUGCUGCUCUCAGCCCCUCCUCUCACUGCCUGCCUGCCCCUUCCUCUUGUGAUGAGCGGCAAUCCAUGCUUCACCACCAUCUUAGAAAGCGCUGGCAUGAAAUGGAAGAGGGAGGAAGAAUGAGCAGGUGAUGGAAGAAUAAAAGAGGAUUUUUUAUAAAUGACAUCUGAUCAUGGAUAACAAAUCAAUGCCUGCUGAUGAAGUACUUGACCCAGACGUCUGCACCAUUUCAUUGUGUGCCCCAACAUUAUAACAUUUAAGCACUUUAAAUGCCUCUAUUUCUUUUGCACAUUUUUAAAAAAUGUUUAAAUUGUUUACUUUUUUCUGCUUUUACAUUUUUGUUAAGGUAAUCAUAUAUUAUAAUUUAGAAUCUAUUAUAAUCUGACAUUCUAACAUUAGCUCUGCAUCCUCUAUCUGGACAAGUAAUUGCAAUUGAUUCAAACAUAUCAUCUUAGAUUAGUUUGCUACAAUAUGAAAUGCUAUGUUAUUUAUUUAUUUAUUAUUAUUUACAGAGGCCAACCAAUAGAUAAAUUUAUAGUGCUAAUUAAUUAAAGUGUAAAGCUUUAAUAUAGCACAAACUCAAUCUUUAGCAUAGAGCACUUCAAACAUUCGUGUAACCUUUCCGUCAUCCCUUUCUCAUGUCUUGUAUUUAGUGUCACGUGCUUGAGAGCAUCUGCUAUGAUAAAAAUGACACUGUUAGACUUGAUUGUAAUGCUAUAUUCAAAAUGAGUAGCUAAAUGUUAGAUUCUGAAAACUGUAGACUGCUGAACUAAUGGUGUAGAGAUCAUGAAUGUGAGACCCAUGGCAGCAGUUAAGGGUUACUGCACUGCGAUUGAACAGCUCUGUGUGUUAUUUACACACCUGGUAUAGAGAGAGCUGUUGUCUUUAUUCUCUAUGCAAUUGAGUUGGUCAUGCUAUCAUUAAUCAUUAAUCAUUAAUGAUCAUUAACUAUUAACUAUCAUUAAUGAUCAGUGCAGGACCUGUCCUGAGCAGAUGGAACCUCCUUUAUUCAAAUUUUUAUUCAAACAAUAUUUUAAAUAUGUUAUAAACAAUGCUGGUGUACUAUUAAGGAGAAGAAUCACUACACCAUACUUUACAUGGUCUGUGUUAUGUUAUUUUAUUUUGUCUAUGUUGUCUGAUUGAACCUGCAGUCAUUAGAAGUAAUAAUGCCACUUACAGUACUAAUCAAGUAAAAUCCUUCUACUAAUAAUAAUGUAAAAUACUACUACUAAUAUUAUUAUUAUUAUUAUUAUUAUUAUUAUUAUUAUUAGUAGUAGUAGUAUUUUUAAUAAUCCUCAUUCCUGAUCAGCUAUUUUGUUUAAGUAUUAUUUACAGUACUUGAUCUUAUAAUUAAAUUUGGGCAGAGGCAAACAUAUAUUUUCAAUGGUCUAUGCAAAUAUAUUAAUAUUUGAUCAUAUUAAUGAAAAUUGUGCAAUUUAUUUUGAGACCCACUUUUGUUAUCAUGGACAGUGAUGCCCUUAAAUCAUCAAGCAAGUAUUUAUUUUAUUAAUUAUUAUUAUUAUUAUUAUUAUUAUUAUUAACAUAGAAAUGUAAGAGGAAUGUUAGUACUAUGAUUAAAAAUCAUUUACUAUGCAAUUUAUUGUGAAUCACAAUGAUGAGUGUGUUUCUAAAUGUUAUAUUUCCUGGUGUGAGAUUCUUGAUGUUUUUAAGAUGUAGGCAACUUGUCUGUAAAGACUAAUAUGAUUAUUAUUAGACAAAUCGUGGCAUUGAACUAAUUUGUCCUGUUAUGAAUACUAAUAAAAGUUUACA